rnacentral:rRNA from 1 species
AGUGAACGCUGGCGGUAGGCCUAACACACGCAAGUCGAACGGCAGCACAGUAAGAGCUUGCUCUUACGGGUGGCGAGUGGCGGACGGGUGAGGAAUACAUCGUAAUCUACUUUUUCGUGGGGGAUAACGUAGGGAAACUUACUCUAAUACCGCAUACGACCUACGGGUGAAAGCAGGGGAUCUUCGGACCUUGCGCGGUUGAAUGAGCCGAUGUCGGAUUAGCUAGUUGGCGGGGUAAAGGCCCACCAAGGCGACGAUCCGUAGCUGGUCUGAGAGGAUGAUAAGCGACACUGGAACUGAGACACGGUCCAGACUACUAAGGGAGGCAGCAGUGGGGAAUAUUGGACAAUGGGCGCAAGCCUGAUCCAGCCAUACCGAGUGGGUGAAGAAGGCCUUCGGGUUGUAAAGCCCUUUUGUUGGGAAAGAAAAGCAGCAGGUUAAUACCACGCUGUUCUGACGGUACCCAAAGAAUAAGCACCGGCUAACUUCGUG